rnacentral:rRNA from 1 species
GGGCCCGCACAAGCGGUGGAGCAUGUGGUUCAAUUCGACGCAACGCGAAGAACCUUACCCAGGCUUGAACAGCGAGUGACCACUCCCGAAAGGGAGCUUCCGCAAGGACACUCGUAGAGGUGCUGCAUGGCUGUCGUCAGCUCGUGUCGUGAGAUGUUGGGUUAAGUCCCGCAACGAGCGCAACCCUUGUUUGCUGUUGCCAUCACGUUAUGGUGGGCACUCUGCAAAGACUGCCGGUGAUAAACCGGAGGAAGGUGGGGAUGACGUCAAGUCAGCAUGGCCUUUAUGUCUGGGGCUACACACGUGCUACAAUGGCCGGUACAAACCGUCGCGAUACCGCAAGGUGGAGCUAAUCGGAGAAAGCCGGUCUCAGUUCGGAUAGCAGGCUGCAACUCGCCUGCUUGAAGUUGGAAUCGCUAGUAAUCGCGGAUCAGCACGCCGCGGUGAAUACGUUCCCGGGCCUU